UUAUUUUAAGAAAGUACUCCUACUCUUCCUAGGUUCCUCCUACUCAAACUUACCCUAAAUUUUCACAGAACAACCUUAAUUUUUUGCUUUCCUUGAACACAUCUAAAAUUCCUCAAUUUUUCAUAGUGCAACCUGUGCUCUCUGCUUCUGCAGUCAUGCAUUUGGAAUCGUCGUAAUUGCCGAAUGAUGCUGAGGAAUUGCAAUCCCCAUUUUUCCGGAGGAUAUCGGAGGGUGGUUGUUGCAAUUAAAGAACAUCUAUUUGAGGGCGUAGUGUUUUGUUUUCAUUCCCCCUUUUUAAGGUUUGUCUUUUCCUCUUAUUCUUCCUCCUUUUGGUUUGGUUUAGCUAGAUUUGACUAACUGACUCUUGUGUUUUUGGAUUCAACUGCAUUUUCUGCUUCGUUAUUGAUUUAAUUUCAUUUUGUUUUUGUUGAUUUUCGUUGUGUAUUGUUUACCCAAAUGAGGUUGUACUGCAUGUGUUUUCAAUUUGUUUUUGUUGUUAUUGAUUUUUGAUUGAUUUGGGUUUUUUUGGUUUUUCGUCAUUGAUUUUUAUUGUUAAUUUAGGUAUUUUUUGGCUGUUAACUACGUAUAAUUAUUGAAGAAAUGGGUAUAAUUAUUGAAGUUAUGAAUGAUUAUCAUAUUAUAACAACCGAUUUGUUGCUGAAAGUUGGUUUUCACCCUCAAUUUUGUUUUUUUGUUGUAUUUUUGCUGGGAUGAGGUUUGAUGUAUACUAUUUUGGUUAGAUUUUGGGAAAUUAUUAUAUUGAUUUUGUAAAUUGAUUGAUUUUGUGAUUACAUUUGAUGGUGAAUAUAUGAAUUAUGAUGUGUUUUGUAUUGAUUUUUAUGGGUUUGUCCCGUCUUUUGAUGGUGAAUAUAUGAAUUAUGAUGUUUUUUUGUUGAUUUUUCUGGGUUUGUCCCUUUUGAGGUAGGGUUAUGCUGUAUAAUUAUUAAAAUUUGCUAAGAAUAAUUAUCAAUAUCUUGUAAUAAUACAGAAAUGUAUCCGCUUAUAGUUCGAUCCUCGGAAACUUAUCAAUACACCUCAUUUCAUAUUUGAACAUAAAAAAAUUGAUUAAGAAAAUCAUGAAAAUCACUAAUAAAACGGAGAAGUAUACAUGUAAUUGUGUUUAUGCAUCAGUAUUAACAAUUGGGCAUUUGAGAUUGUAUACUAAUGAAUUAUUGUUGUUUUAGUGGCUUGUAAAAGUAGUUUUGUUAGAUAAAAGCUUUACAAUUAUAGUAAGUCAAAGAUAAAAUUCUCAAGAUAAAAUAUUGCACCAUUUUAUCUUGAUAAGUACCUCACCAAUCUCAGUUUAGUAUCCUCUUUUCUAUUGGCUGGAUGAAUGAUAUAGAAGCUAAGACUUUAUUUCUCAAGUAGUUGUCUUUGCGGGAAGAGUAGAUUUAUUAGUGUCAUUUUGAACUAGAAUUUAGAAAACGUGCUUUUAAGAAGCCUUAUAUAACAAAGCUAAGAUAAUUUAUUUUUUUCUGUAAAAUUAUCAUAUUCUGUCAUUUGAUUCUUCACAAUUUUCCCUCGCCUUUAGUAGCACCCUUAUUACGUGUUGGAGUUGUGGUUUGAUCAUUUAUGAUAAAUUUAUAUUUUAAGUAAGGUGAAACUCGAGGUUGUCUUUUGCAGGCAAUAAUAGUAGAGGGUAACAUAGUUGGAAAAAUAUGAUGAAAUAAAAAAAAAAACUUUAUAUAAAUGGCCUUUUUAUGUUAAUUAUCUAAAUAUUUUAUCCUCAUUUUAAAGAAGUUGGAUGUACUUAAAGAGUUGGAAGAGGCCAGAUAAUAUGCUCAUGAUAAUGUCUGAUUAUAUUCAUCUUGAUUAAUGAGGAUGUUAAGAUACUUGUUGAAAAUAAGUAGGCAAGAGAUUGCUCCUAUUGCAGGUAAUUCACUCAUUCGGUUUCUCCUACUGUAAUGUUCUAAUUUCUUUCUCAAUUUGAUAAUAUGAUUCAUUUUUCAAUUAAUGAGCUACAUUAUUAUGUAUUACUUGUAUUAAAUUUUUUUUGUUUGUCAAUAAUUUAAGAGUGGUUGCAGUUCUUCUAUGUCAUUUGUCUUUCAGAUAUUGAUCUUCAAAUGCUAGGUGUAGGCUUGUCAAGUUUUGUUUGAAAAUUGAAACAUAGAAGGCCAUUAGCUUAGUGUUCUCUGUUUUUUUUUCUUCAGUUUGAGUUGUCAGUUUUUGUAUUACAAUGGCUCUAUCAAAUGUCACCUUUUGCAAGCAAGGAUCUUAAAGAUAAUAGCUUCUUUGCAAUUGUAAGGGUAUGGCUUGUGUUGCAAUUGUGCAGCUAACACUUUGACAUUUAACACCCCUGCCAUCAUGCCUAAGGCGUGAGGCCUUGUGGGCCUUAUGGACAAAAGUCACAAAACAAACAAGUUAGCUAUUUUUUUUAAAGGUUGCGAAUGCUGAUGGAAAAUCAAGUCAAGUAGAAAAGGCAGUUGCUCUAAUAAAAGGGGCUGGAAAGAGUCUCCGGAGGAAGGAAAAACGAGCAAUUAUGGAUCGAGCAAAUCAGAGCUAGUCUUGGCCUUUUGAUUCAGGCUCAAUAUUAUUCCAAGCUUAUUAUACAAGCACCUUCAAAAGGGUGAACAACUUAUGAGAGGAUGAUUUCUUCAAGCAAUUUUCAGAUUGUUCUGUUUUAGAUAUCACAAUGAUCUAUUUUGUUAAGUUCAAAUCACCUCUUAUCACUCUGUUCUUUUAGGAUGACAUACAUGUCCUUUGUAGUUGAAAGUUGGUGACAUAUUUGUAAUUAGAAGUACAUCAUUUUAUGUAUUUUAUAAUUGAUGAUAUAGAUCGAUGUCGAUUAAAUUGGAUCUUA